rnacentral:rRNA from 1 species
CCUACGGGUGGCAGCAGUAGGGAAUAUUGCUCAAUGGGGGAAACCCUGAAGCAGCAACGCCGCGUGGAGGAUGAAGGUUUUCGGAUUGUAAACUCCUUUUGGUAGAGAAGAUAAUGACGGUAUCUAACGAAUAAGCACCGGCUAACUCCGUGCCAGCAGCCGCGGUAAUACGGAGGGGGCAAGCGUUACUCGGAAUAACUGGGCGUAAAGAGCGCGUAGGCGGGAAAGCAAGUCAGAUGUGAAAUCCUAUGGCUUAACCAUAGAACUGCAUUUGAAACUGUUAUUCUAGAGUAUGGGAGAGGUAGGUGGAAUUCUUGGUGUAGGGGUAAAAUGCGUAGAGAUCAAGAGGAAUACUCAUUGCGAAGGCGACCUGCUAGACCAUAACUGACGCUGAGGCGCGAAGGCGUGGGGAGCAAACAGGAUUAGAUACCCGGGUAGUC